rnacentral:misc_RNA from 1 species
UACGGAGGGUGCAAGCGUUAAUCGGAAUUACUGGGCGUAAAGCGCGCGUAGGCGGCAAGUUAAGUUGGGUGUGAAAGCCCCGGGCUCAACCAGGGAACUGCAUCCAUAACUGGCUAGCUUGAGUACGGCAGAGGACAGUGGAAUUGCCGGUGUAGCGGUGAAAUGCGUAGAGAUCGGAAGGAACACCAGUGGCGAAGGCGACUGUCUGGGCUGAUACUGACGCUGAGGUGCGAAAGCAUGGGGAGCAAACAGG